GUGUCUGUCUGGAGACCCUGCAGCCUUCCCACCCACCAGGGAGCUUUCCAUGGGCUGUGGGGAAGGGGUCAGUGUUGGGUGAGGGAACAC
ensembl:miRNA